rnacentral:rRNA from 1 species
GACGAACGCUGGCGGCGUGCUUAACACAUGCAAGUCGAACGGAAAGGCCCUGCUUUUGUGGGGUGCUCGAGUGGCGAACGGGUGAGUAACACGUGAGUAACCUGCCCUUGACUUUGGGAUAACUUUAGGAAACUGGGGCUAAUACCGGAUAGGAGCUCCUGCUGCAUGGUGGGGGUUGGAAAGUUUCGGCGGUUGGGGAUGGACUCGCGGCUUAUCAGCUUGUUGGUGGGGUAGUGGCUUACCAAGGCUUUGACGGGUAGCCGGCCUGAGAGGGUGACCGGCCACAUUGGGACUGAGAUACGGCCCAGACUCCUACGGGAGGCAGCAGUGGGGAAUAUUGCACAAUGGGCGGAAGCCUGAUGCAGCAACGCCGCGUGCGGGAUGACGGCCUUCGGGUUGUAAACCGCUUUCGCCUGUGACGAAGCGUGAGUGACGGUAAUGGGUAAAGAAGCACCGGCUAACUACGU